UGGGGAAUAUUGGACAAUGGGCGAAAGCCUGAUCCAGCCAUGCCGCGUGUGUGAAGAAGGCCUUUUGGUUGUAAAGCACUUUAAGUGGGGAGGAAAAGCUUAUGGUUAAUACCCAUAAGCCCUGACGUUACCCACAGAAUAAGCACCGGCUAACUCUGUGCCAGCAGCCGCGGUAAUACAGAGGGUGCAAGCGUUAAUCGGAAUUACUGGGCGUAAAGCGCGCGUAGGUGGUUAUUUAAGUCAGAUGUGAAAGCCCCGGGCUUAACCUGGGAACUGCAUCUGGUACUGGAUAACUAGAGUAGGUGAGAGGGGAGUAGAAUUCCAGGUGUAGCGGUGAAAUGCGUAGAGAUCUGGAGGAAUACCGAUGGCGAAGGCAGCUCCCUGGCAUCAUACUGACACUGAGGUGCGAAAGCGUGGGUAGCAAACAGGAUUAGAUACCCUGGUAGUCCACGCCGUAAACGAUGUCUACCAGUCGUUGGGUCUUUUAAAGACUUAGUGACGCAGUUAACGCAAUAAGUAGACCGCCUGGGGAGUACGGCCGCAAGGUU
rnacentral:rRNA from 1 species